rnacentral:rRNA from 1 species
UACGAAGGGGGCUAGCGUUGCUCGGAAUUACUGGGCGUAAAGGGCUCGUAGGUGGCCAACUAAGUCGGACGUGAAAUCCCUCGGCUUAACCGGGGAACUGCGUCUGAUACUGGAUGGCUAGAGAUUGGGAGAGGGAUGCGGAAUUCCAGGUGUAGCGGUGAAAUGCGUAGAUAUCUGGAGGAACACCGGUGGCGAAGGCGGCAUCCUGGACCAACACUGACGCUGAGGAGCGAAAGCCAGGGGAGCAAACGGG